AGAGUCGGCCAGACAACCGCCGGGUCGCCUUUCGGGGCGAUUGCGGAGGAAAGUCCGGGCUCCAUCGGGCAGGGCGCCAGGUAACGCCUGGAGGGCGAGAGCCCAUGGAAAGUGCCACAGAAAACAUACCGCCUAAGCGCGCGCUGCGCGCCGGUAAGGGUGAAAUGGUGCGGUAAGAGCGCACCGCGCGGCUGGUAACAUGCCGCGGCAGGGUAAACCCCGCCUGGAGCAAGACCAAAUAGGGGAGUGCGCAGACUUCGGUCUGCACCGCCGGCCCCGAGCGGACUCCCGGGUAGGUUGCUAGAGGCGAUCGGUGACGGUCGUCCCAGAUGAAUGGUUGUCCACGACAGAACCCGGCUUAUUGCCGGCUCUUGCU
rnacentral:RNase_P_RNA from 1 species